ACGGAGGGGGCAAGCGUUAUCCGGAAUUAUUGGGCGUAAAGGGUACGUAGGUGGUUUACCAAGCGCAGGGUUUAAGGCAAUGGCUCAACCAUUGUUCGCCCUGCGAACUGGCAAACUUGAGUGCAGGAGAGGAAAGCGGAAUUCCUAGUGUAGCGGUGAAAUGCGUAGAUAUUAGGAGGAACACCAGUGGCGAAGGCGGCUUUCUGGACUGUAACUGACACUGAGGUACGAAAGCGUGGGGAGCAAACAGGAUUAGAUACCCUGGUAGUCCACGCCGUAAACGAUGAGCACUAGGUGUCGGGGUCGCAAGACUUCGGUGCCGCAGUUAACGCAUUAAGUGCUCCGCCUGGGGAGUACGCACGCAAGUGUG
rnacentral:rRNA from 1 species